rnacentral:rRNA from 1 species
UGCGGAAGGAUCAUUACCGAGUGAGGGCCCUCUGGGUCCAACCUCCCACCCGUGUUUAUCGUACCUUGUUGCUUCGGCGGGCCCGCCUCACGGCCGCCGGGGGGCAUCCGCCCCCGGGCCCGCGCCCGCCGAAGACACCAAUGAACUCUUGUCUGAAGAUUGCAGUCUGAGCAGAUUAGCUAAAUCAGUUAAAACUUUCAACAACGGAUCUCUUGGUUCCGGCAUCGAUGAAGAACGCAGCGAAAUGCGAUAAGUAAUGUGAAUUGCAGAAUUCAGUGAAUCAUCGAGUCUUUGAACGCACAUUGCGCCCCCUGGUAUUCCGGGGGGCAUGCCUGUCCGAGCGUCAUUGCUGCCCUCAAGCACGGCUUGUGUGUUGGGCUUCGCCCCCCGGCUCCCGGGGGGCGGGCCCGAAAGGCAGCGGCGGCACCGCGUCCGGUCCUCGAGCGUAUGGGGCUUUGUCACCCGCUCUGUAGGCCCGGCCGGCGCCCGCCGGCGACCCCAAAUCAAUCUAUCCAGGUUGACCUCGGAUCAGGUAGGGAUACCCGCUGAACUUAAGCAUAUCAAUAAGACGGAGGAA